rnacentral:rRNA from 1 species
AUGCUUGAUACUUCUUGUACUGGUUCCUUUAUGAUGAAGACUAUUGAAUUUAAAUGGGAUUUAUUGGAAAGAAUUAAACGCAACUCUGAAGAUUGGGAACUCGACGAAGGUAAGGAGUCAGGUAUAACACCUAAUUUUGAUUGUGUUAAAUCUUUUAUGGAUACCGAUGCUUUUCGUGAAUUUAGUACUAAAUAUGGACUUGACUCUGAAAUAGUAGCUUCUUUCUGUGAAUCAUUUGCUACUCAUGUUGAUCUCCCUAAGGAAAAGUGGUUUAAAUAUCAUCCUCCCAUUGAAGUAAAAGUAGUUGAACCUAUUAAAGUUGAAGAAAAGACUAUCACUUAUAAUGUUGAUCCUAUUGUUACUACCUCUUAUAUUGAGAAACCACCUUUCCCUGUUAGAAUAAAGGAUCAUGCUAAAGCUUCAACUGUGGUUCGUAAGAGUAAUGCUAAAACACCUACACCCCCUGAGCAAAUUAAAUUUGAAUCUAAUAUGACUAUGAUUAAAGAUCUCUUGGUCGAUAAUAUUGAUGGGCAUUUUAUUUACUUCUGUAAUGAAGCUGCAAGAAUUGCUAGACCCGAUAAUAAAAAUAAAUAUAGACCUGUUGUAGGCAUGCCUGUUGUUUCUGUUAAAAUAGUAGAUCAUUGCUAUUUGAAGCAAAGGUGUCCCGUCUUUCGAUGA